UAGGGAAUCUUCGGCAAUGGGGGGAACCCUGACCGAGCAACGCCGCGUGAGUGAAGAAGGUUUUCGGAUCGUAAAGCUCUGUUGUUAAGGAAGAACGAGUGUGAGAAUGGAAAGUUCAUACUGUGACGGUACUUAACCAGAAAGGGACGGCUAACUACGUGCCAGCAGCCGCGGUAAUACGUAGGUCCCGAGCGUUGUCCGGAUUUAUUGGGCGUAAAGCGAGCGCAGGCGGUUAGAUAAGUCUGAAGUUAAAGGCAGUGGCUCAACCAUUGUAGGCUUUGGAAACUGUUUAACUUGAGUGCAGAAGGGGAGAGUGGAAUUCCAUGUGUAGCGGUGAAAUGCGUAGAUAUAUGGAGGAACACCGGUGGCGAAAGCGGCUCUCUGGUCUGUGACUGACGCUGAGGCUCGAAAGCGUGGGGAGCGAACAGGAUUAGAUACCCUGGUAGUCCACGCCGUAACGAUGAGUGCUAGGUGUUAGGUCCUUUCCGGGACUUAGUGCCGCAGCUAACGCAUUAAGCACUCCGCCUGGGGAGUACGACCGCAAGGUUG
rnacentral:rRNA from 1 species